CCCCCGCCCCGGGACAGAAUUGCACUCGAGAUCGCCGGUUUCUAGCGGGCCCUGAACGUACCGUUCCAGUGGCGAGCGAGUCUCCGGCGAGGAAAUCUAGCAGGGUCCCCGUGUCCACGGGGAUUAAUAAAUACUCCGCUCCAUCGGCUCCCUGCGGAAUAUCAAGGACGGUCGGCACGUGGUGGCGAUCCACGAGGCGACCGCUAAACCGGACGACGUGAUUCCCCAUCACGACGGAGUCCGCGGGGGUCUCGUCGCCUUGGCGACCCCGGGCCGUCGGCGUGGCCGGAGGCCCGGCCCGGGACCGAGCGAGGGGGGUCGGUCGGAGGGAACGGCGGGGUCCCUUUCCCCGGCAGCACGGUUGGGGAUCGCGCCUCUUCCCAAGUGAGGCUGACGCUCAGUGCCCCCCUCCCCGGCCUGCACCCCGGACUACCACGUGAGGGUGGAUUCCUCCACCUCCUCCUUAAUGGCAUCCACUCCCUUCGACCUUCCUCUCCCUCCCCGAUUAUUCCCUCUCUCGGGAACGAAUCCGCCGACUCCGUCGUAUUGUCCUCUACCGAGCGCUUAGUGAGUGCUCAAUAAAUGCCACCGAUUAAAUACCAUUAAGACGUUGGGAUUGGGGACACCGACUCUCAACCGGCCUCACUCCACCUUGUCUUCCGUCUCCGUUUCGCACGGAUCUACCUUGUUCUCCUAAAUCAUGCUUCAGCCACGCCCUUCCCCUGGCGUCCAUUUCGGCCCCAUCCUGUGGUCCCUUAGGAAAGGUGGAGCCCUACUUAAUCGGAUUCGGUUGUCGGGGUGAAGGAACACCACGCCCGCCACUGAUUAUAACCGGCUAUCGCUCCCACCUUUCAGUGAUGAGGCCGAGCCCGCCUUUGGGCCGACGGCCUAGGUUCGUCCUCAUCCAUACAGAUCUGUUAUUUGAUACUGCAAUUAAAAAAACACCCUCCGGC